rnacentral:rRNA from 1 species
UACGGAGGGAGCUAGCGUUGUUCGGAAUUACUGGGCGUAAAGCGCACGUAGGCGGCGAUUCAAGUCAGAGGUGAAAGCCCGGGGCUCAACCCCGGAACUGCCUUUGAAACUAGAUUGCUAGAAUCCUGGAGAGGCGAGUGGAAUUCCGAGUGUAGAGGUGAAAUUCGUAGAUAUUCGGAAGAACACCAGUGGCGAAGGCGACUCGCUGGACAGGUAUUGACGCUGAGGUGCGAAAGCGUGGGGAGCAAACAGGG